rnacentral:rRNA from 1 species
UACGGGGGGGGCAAGCGUUGUUCGGAAUUACUGGGCGUAAAGGGUCCGUAGGUGGCUUGCUAAGUCAGACGUGAAAUCCCUCGGCUUAACCGGGGAACUGCGUCUGAGACUGGCGAGCUUGAGUGCAGGAGAGGAACGCGGAAUUCCAGGUGUAGCGGUGAGAUGCGUAGAUAUCUGGAGGAACACCGGUGGCGAAGGCGGCGUUCUGGACUGCAACUGACACUGAAAGACGAAAGCCAGGGGAGCAAACGGG